AAGUCGUAACAAGGUCUCCGUUGGUGAACCAGCGGAGGGAUCAUUACCGAGUUCUUACAGAACCCAACCCUUGUGUGAUAAGCUCUCACCCAGCUUCUACACGGGAGUCUCGGCCUAAUCGCCGAGGCAGUGUAAAAAAAACAAAACCUCUGUAUCAUUAUCACAAAUUUCUGAAGACUUUUUAAAAGAGUCAAAACUUUCAACAACGGAUCUCUUGGUUCUG
rnacentral:misc_RNA from 1 species